AUACGGAGGGUGCAAGCGUUACUGGGAAUCACUGGGCGUAAAGCGCGCGCAGGCGGUCUGAUAAGUUGGAUGUGAAAGCCUACGGCUCAACCGUAGAACUGCAUCCAAAACUGUCAGUCUAGAGUGUGGGAGAGGAAGAUGGAAUUAGUUGUGUAGGGGUCAAAUACGUAGAGAUACCUAGGAAUACCAAAAGCGAAGGCAAUCUUCUGGAACACUACUGACGCUGAGGCGCGAAGGAGUGGGGAGCAAACAGGAUUAGAUACCCCAGUAGUCC
rnacentral:rRNA from 1 species